CUUAGUCGUGUGUACAUCAUUGGGAAUGGAGGGAAAUAAAUGACUGGAUGGUCGCUGCUUUUUAAGUUUCAAAUUGACAUUCCAGACAAGCGGUGCCUGAGCCCGUGCCUGUCUUCAGAUCUUCACAGCACAGUUCCUGGGAAGGUGGAGCCACCAGCCUCUCCUUGACUCAUGCCCAAAGUUACGGAGGACCCAGCAACCAUCUCCUGCAGCCCCUGGAAACCUCUUGACUCUUCUGUGAUGUCCCCAGUGAUCCAGCAGCCCUGGCCUUCUUUUGAUGGCUUGAACAUUUGGUCUUCAUUGAACAGUUUGUAUAUUGGAAACUUGCCAGCCUCCAUCCACAUUCCAACCUCCGUCUGCAUCCCUCGGUACAAAAUGGUUCAAUCUGUCUACCUCCUUUCACAUUCCACCAAGAUAUUCCAAGGCCCAGGGUUCCUUUGACCACCUCACACCUAACAAGUUCCCUCACUGUCUCUCACUCUCCCCUGAAGAUUCUAAGCUGCCUCUGUCCUGCUAAAACUGUAGACCUGAGAAUGAAGUAAGGUGCUUCAGAAUAACUGGGAGAUGAAACAGGAAGCUCUAUGACACACUUGAUCGAAUAUGACAGACACCGAAAAUCACGACUCAGCCCCCUCCAGCACCUCUACCUGUUGCCCGCCGAUCACAGCCGGAAUGCAGCUGAAAGAUUCCCUGGGGCCUGGUUCCAACCGCCCACUGUGGACUCUGAGGCCUCUGCAUUUGCGGGUGGUCUGCCUGUGA
rnacentral:lncRNA from 10 species